GAUGAACGCUGGCGGCAUGCCUAAUACAUGCAAGUCGAGCGAACCGACGAGGAGCUUGCUCCUAUGACGUUAUCGCCGGACGGGUGAGUAACACGUGGUUAACCUACCUAUACGACUGGGAUAACUUCGGGAAACCGGAGCUACUACCGGAUAAUAUAUUGAACCGCAUGGUUCAAUAGUGAAAGAAGCUUUUGCUGUCACUUAUAGAUGACUCCGCCCCGCAUUAGUUAGUUGGUAAGGUAACGGCUUACCAAGGCGACGAUGCGUAGCCGACCCGAGAGGGUGAUCGGACACACGGGAACUGAGAAACGGUCCAGACUCCGACAGGGGGCAGCAGUAGAGAAUCUUCCGGGAUGGACGAAUGCCUGACGGAGCAACGCCGCGUGAGUGAUGAAGGACUUCGGAUGGUAGAACUCUGUUAUUAGGGGAGUAGAAAUGUGUAAGUAACUAUGCACGUCUUGACGGUACCUAAACAGAAAGCCACGGCUAACUACGUG
rnacentral:rRNA from 1 species